rnacentral:rRNA from 1 species
AACGAACGCUGGCGGCAUGCCUAACACAUGCAAGUCGAACGAACCCUUCGGGGUUAGUGGCGCACGGGUGCGUAACGCGUGGGAAUCUGCCCUUGGCUUCGGAAUAACAGUUAGAAAUGACUGCUAAUACCGGAUGAUGUCUUCGGACCAAAGAUUUAUCGGCCAGGGAUGAGCCCGCGUAGGAUUAGGUAGUUGGUGGGGUAAAGGCCUACCAAGUCGACGAUCCUUAGCUGGUCUGAGAGGAUGAUCAGCCACACUGGGACUGAGACACGGCCCAGACUCCUACGGGAGGCAGCAGUGGGGAAUAUUGGACAAUGGGCGCAAGCUUGAUCCAGCAAUGCCGCGUGAGUGAUGAAGGCCUUAGGGUCGUAAAGCUCUUUUACCCGGGAUGAUAAUGACAGUACCGGGAGAAUAAGCUCCGGCUAACUCCGUGCCAGCCGCCGCUGUAA